CCUACGGGCGGCUGCAGUGAGGAAUAUUGGUCAAUGGCCGUAAGGCUGAACCAGCCAAGUCGCGUGAAGGAAGAAGGAACUAUGGUUUGUAAACUUCUUUUAUCGGGGAAUAAAGGUAUCCACGUGUGGCUAUUUGCAUGUACCCUAUGAAUAAGCAUCGGCUAACUCCGUGCCAGCAGCCGCGGUAAUACGGAGGAUGCGAGCGUUAUCCGGAUUUAUUGGGUUUAAAGGGUGCGGAGGUGGGUUUUUAAGUCAGCGGUGAAAGUGUGUGGCUCAACCAUAAAAUUGCCGUUGAAACUGGAAGACUUGAGUUUGUGAGAGGUAGGCGGAAUGCGUGGUGUAGCGGUGAAAUGCAUAGAUAUCACGCAGAACUCCGAUUGCGAAGGCAGCUUACUAGGCCAUAACUGACGCUGAGGCACGAAAGCGUGGGGAUCAAACAGGAUUAGAUACCCGAGUAGUC
rnacentral:rRNA from 1 species